CACGUAGGGCGCAAGCGUUGUCCGGAAUUAUUGGGCGUAAAGAGCUCGUAGGCGGUCUGUUGCGUCCGCUGUGAAAACCCGGGGCUUAACCCCUGGCUUGCAGUGGAUACGGACAGACUAGAGGUAGGUAGGGGAGAAUGGAAUUCCCGGUGUAGCGGUGAAAUGCGCAGAUAUCGGGAGGAACACCGGUGGCGAAGGCGGUCUCUGGGCCUUACCUGACGCUGAGGAGCGAAAGCGUGGGGAGCGAACAGG
rnacentral:rRNA from 1 species